rnacentral:pre_miRNA from 1 species
UUCUGUGACAUUAGGAACCAUCGACCACUUGAUACAGCGAAACAGUCAGGUGGUGGAGGGUUCUGAUUGACACACAA